rnacentral:rRNA from 1 species
GAUGAACGCUAGCUACAGGCUUAACACAUGCAAGUCGAGGGGUAACGAGAGGAAAGCUUGCUUUCCUUGUCGACGACCGGCGCACGGGUGAGUAACGCGUAUCCAACCUGCCCCCAACUAGGGAAUAACCUUGCGAAAGUAAGACUAAUACCCUAUAAUUUCCUCAGAUGUCAUCUGACGAGGAAUAAAGAUUUAUCGGUUGUGGAUGGGGAUGUGUCUGAUUAGCUUGUUGGCGGGGUAACGGCCCACCAAGGCAACGAUCAGUAGGGGUUCUUAGAGGAAGGUCCCCCACAUUGGAACUGAGACACGGGCCAAACUCCUACGGGAGGCAGCAGUGAGGAAUAUUGGUCAAUGGGCGGAAGCCUGAACCAGCCAAGUGGCGUGCAGGAUGACGGCCCUAUGGGUUGUAAACUGCUUUUAUACAGGAAUAAAGUUAGCCACGUGUGGUUAUUUGUAGGUACUGUAUGAAUAAGGACCGGCUAAUUCCGUGCCAGCAGCCGCCGUAA